rnacentral:rRNA from 1 species
GUCUGCAGCCAUGCUACCUCGAACAAGCCCAAUCCGGUCUGAUCUCGGAAACUAAGCAGAGUCGGGCCUGGUUAGUACAUGGAUGGGAGACCACCUAGGAAGACCAGAUGCUAUAAGCA